rnacentral:tRNA from 1 species
UCUAAUAUGGCAGAAAUAAUGCACCAAAUUUAAGAUUUGAUUAUAAAUAAUUAUAUUUUAUUAGAA